GAUGAACGCUGGCGGCGUGCUUAACACAUGCAAGUCGAACGGAAAGGCCCUGCUUUUGUGGGGUGCUCGAGUGGCGAACGGGUGAGUAACACGUGAGUAACCUGCCCUUGACUUUGGGAUAACUUCAGGAAACUGGGGCUAAUACCGGAUAGGAGCUCCUGCUGCAUGGUGUGGGUUGGAAAGUUUCGGCGGUUGGGGAUAGACUCGCGGCUUAUCCGCUUGUUGGUGGGGUAGUGGCUUACCAAGGCUUUGAGGGGUAGCCGACCUGAGAGGGUGACCGGCGACAUGGGGACUGAGAUACGGCCCAGACGCCUACGGGAGGCAGCAGUGGGAAAUAUUGCGGAAUGGGCGGAAGCCUGAUGCAGCAGCGCUGCGUGCGGGAUGACGGCUUUCGGGUUGUGAACCGCUUUCGACUGUGACGAAGCGUGAGUGACGGUAAUGGGUAAAGAAGCACCGGCUAACUACGUG
rnacentral:rRNA from 1 species